CAAAAAGGGCACUGCGUGCACACACACACCACGCCCACACCUUCAGAUCUGUUGACCCCAAAACCAACCUCAACCGCCGCUCUCUUACGACACUCUUGCAACAAAUUUCAGAAAUGGACGGGGGCGGACCGGGCCAGCCGGCGGACACUGAGAUGGAGGAUGCGGCCGCCGCUGCAGCUACCGCUCCACCGCCACCACCACCUUCUAACCCCCAACAACAGCAGCAGCAGGUCUCCCUUACCGGUGGAAUCGAAAAUAUUCCGGCCACUCUCAGCCACGGUGGGAGAUUCAUGCAGUACAACAUAUUCGGUAAUAUAUUCGAGGUCACUGCUAAGUACAAGCCUCCUAUCAUGCCCAUCGGCAAGGGCGCAUACGGCAUCGUUUGCUCGGCACUGAACUCGGAAACCGUUGAGCAUGUGGCGAUAAAGAAGAUAGCGAAUGCUUUUGAUAAUAAAAUCGAUGCCAAAAGGACUCUCCGUGAGAUCAAGUUGCUUCGUCAUAUGGAUCAUGAAAACGUUGUUGCAAUCAGGGAUAUAAUUCCUCCACCCCAGAGGGAAUCAUUUAAUGAUGUUUACAUUGCUUAUGAGCUAAUGGACACUGAUCUCCAUCAAAUCAUUCGUUCCAAUCAAGCACUAUCAGAAGAGCACUGCCAGUAUUUCCUGUAUCAAAUUCUCCGAGG
rnacentral:misc_RNA from 1 species